rnacentral:lncRNA from 1 species
AGUUUUCUUCCUCGGCACUGUCAUUAUCUUCUCUCUAACAGAGCAAAAGAAUGUGUUUAGCAACUCUUGAUGUGUCAAAAGUUAACAUUAAAAUUAUGUAGAACAACAACGUGAAUCAGCAAUUAACUUUUCUUUUGUCAAAAGAAAAAAGAAUCAACAUGUAACUGAACCUGGUUACAUGUUAAUGGCACAAAUGUUAGACCAUCAAGUCUCAGGUCAUCACUAGUCAAUCGCAUGUUCUGACUUUGUAGGUCACCAUUAUUCACAAUGGUGGCCCAUAAGACUGUACCGAGUAAAAUAAUCACAUGCAAAAACACUGGACAGUUAAGAAACUUAGACCCUUGUAUGGAACUUUGGAUAAAUGGAUGCCGGACGACUCUGCUGCUUCUGAUCGGUGCUCAUAGCCAUCGCCCUCAUAGUGCAACAAGGAAGUAAAAGAAUUCACGCAAUAGA